CUCAGAACACCACAAAGUUGUUCUACACAGUAAUGGCAUUGGCUUCACAAUAAAUCAGUCUUAUGAGAUAAGCCUAUUCAUUUUUCUUCAUUCAGGCAGCUGGAAUGCGAAGCAAGUCACGAGCCACCUGACCUGAGUGGUGGGAGACAAACUCUGGUUCUCUGCAGGAGCAAGCAGUUUGCCCUCUUAUCCACCGAGCUGUCUCUCCAGCCCUGAAGCCAAUUCGAAAGAUUGGACAAUUCAAUAUCUGUUAUGGAUCGCCGCUUAGCCAUAUUGAGUUAGAUCAUUGCUUUAAACCAUAUGCCAGUAUAGAUUCCAGAUGAAUCAAGAGGCUAACUGUCAAAAGUGAAAGCAUAUAAUUAUCACAAGAAUAUAAAACUGGACGCUUACUUAUCUCCUAAGAAAAAAUUGGAAAGUUUAAUGGAAAAUAUUUAAUUAAAAUUUCUACAUAGUUUCUUCAUGGUUCCUGAUGUUGAUCUUGAUAUGGGAAAGUCUUUCCCUGAAAGAGCUAUGGUGUCGAAACAAGAAGGGGAGAGAUUUGAAUUCACUUUAUGUAUCUUAAGAAGAUAAUAUAGUGCAAUUAUGGGCAAUUUUACCCUUUCUCUACAGUGUUUGUCACAUUUUGAUUACUUAUGGACACAUGCAAAGUGGUUAAAAUUACUUGCAACGAUGGAGACUUGAGUUCAGAGCCAAGCAUCCACAAAACUAGCCAGGCCUGGUCUCACACAUGCCUGUAAACCCAGCACUGCUGGGGGGAGGUGAGGACAAGAGAGUCUCUGGAGCUGGCUGGCUGUUAGCCUCCUCAAUAAGAGAGACCUCCAGGAUCAGGGAAAGACCUGCCUCAAGGGAAUAAGGUGGACAGCAAUAGAGAAGGCUAGCCGGUGCCCUCCUCUGGCCUGCAAGCAUAUAUGCAGGCACACCUGCACACACAUGCACACACCACAUGUGCACAUGCAUAUACACACAGAUACCACACACAACACACACCAAACUCCAUCGCACACAUACUCACACACACACACACACACAUACCACACUCACACACACACACCAUAAACACCACUCAUACACCACACAAACACAUAUUACAGCACCCCACACACACACACUCACACACACCCCACAUCCCUCCACAAAACACGCACAUACACACAUAUACAGACACCAUACUCCCACACAAUACACACACCAUACCCCCACACAACAACACACACACACACACUUAUACACUCACACCACACAUACAUACACUCUUUAGCAUUGAAAGUAACUCGAAGACUUUAAAGUAGGCUAAAAAAACUCUGGAAAAUCAUCUUUAAAAAUAUGACACAUCUCAAUUUGAAAACAGGUGAAGAGCCUCACUAUAUUAAAAAAAAAACCCAGUUCAUUAAAAAAGUAAAAGUAGCCAGCAGGCAUAAUAAAAUAUAUUUUAUUUCACUGGUAAUUAGAGAAAUACAAAUUAAAUAAUUAUGAGCUAACACAGUAGCCAGGGAAACUGGCAAAGAUGAAAGCAAAGAGAAGGAGCAGAAGCGUGUUGUGCGGGCAAGAGGUCUUCAGAGAUGGCGAAAUCAGGGCCUCGCGAAGUAACAACCACUGUUAGGGAGUUUGCCAAAGGCAUCAGAAGUCUUCUAUAUUUUGUAUCAUUGUUUUACCGCUAAGAAAAUAAUCAGAUAAGUACACCAAGACCUUGAAAAUGUGUGAGUAUUAGCAACUGUCUAAUGUUCAUCACAGAGGAGGCACUCAGUAAGCACCAACAGCUGUGGAAUUGGAGUAAUGUUUCACUUCAGGCAAGUAUCUCCGAUUUCACUUCAAGUGCAAAGGUGUCACAGGAUAACAGAAACACGGAGUAUAACAGAAUCUAUGCUGCCAUCCCAGCUUAGAAGGGUAUGUAACUGGGCAUGUGUGCAUGUUCAAACACAACAAAACAAACCAGAAAGAUAUGUCCCCUGCAUCUUAAGGUAGCUCAUGCUGGACAGUGGACUGUAGAUGACCUAAAGGUAUGUUAUUCUUUAUAAUUUCCUUAUUUUUAAAGUGGAUAUAUAAGGGCUUGAGAGAUGGCUCAUUGGUAAAGAACAUGGGGUGCUCUUCACUAAGGCCUACACUCAAGUCCUAGCAUUCACACGGUGAGUUAAUAACAGUCUGUAAUUCCAGCUCCAUAGGAUCCAACAUCUGUAUGUCCUUUCUAGUCCAUAUGGGCACCACGCGUGUGCCUGGUACAGAGACAUACAUGUAGACAAAACAUGCACAUAAAAUAAAAAAGUCUAUAUAUUAACUUAUUAGUUUAUGCUAAAAAACAUAACAAAACCAACCCCGAUCUUGUAUGCACUCACCCCUCCAGGGUAUUUCAGACCCCCAUCUUGUUUACUUCAUGUCUAUGAGACAUUGCAGGUUCUGAUGCAUCCCAGCCUGGGACAGAGCCCAAGCCCAGCCUAAGCAGAUGGAUGAUUAAGGCUGAUUCUCCCUAUGGUUCAAUUAACCUACAUGCCGUGUAGAAAUAUGAAAAUUGUUUUAGAAGAUCAUUAUGUGAAACUCUGAGUGUGUAUGGGCCGCCCUAUCUUCCAAGGCCCAGGCAAGCACGUGCUACGGAGCCCUCAUCUUGUGUUUUAGAAGGAAUGUCUAGUUACUCCUCACAGGUAGAUCAUGUACAAAGUCCACCUUUACUCUGAUGACACUGGAAACCUGAGGUCGGGCUGUGGGUUUUAUAUGUAUAUAAAACUUCAAAAAGCAACUGUGUAAUUUAUUACUGUACAUUUAUAGCAAUUCUAAUGGUGGGUUAGUCGUUUUUAUAGGAGUGAUAAAAUGGGUCUGAGGAGAUGGCUAAGCACUUGCUGCUCUUGCAUGGGAUCUGGGUUCGGUUCCCAGCACCCACAUGGUGGCUCACAACUGUCCUAGGCUCCAGUUCUGGGGAUUUAAUGCUCUCUUCUGGACUCCUUGGCACCAGGAAUGCACAUGUUGUAUAG
rnacentral:lncRNA from 1 species